rnacentral:rRNA from 1 species
UACGUAGGUGGCAAGCGUUGUCCGGAUUUACUGGGCGUAAAGAGCGCGCAGGCGGUCGUUCAAGUCGCGUGUGAAAGCCCCCGGCUCAACUGGGGAGGGUCACUCGAUACUGAUCGACUUGAAGGCAGAAGAGGGAAGCGGAAUUCCCGGUGUAGUGGUGAAAUGCGUAGAUAUCGGGAGGAACACCAGUGGCGAAGGCGGCUUUCUGGUCUGUUCUUGACGCUGAGGCGCGAAAGCUAGGGUAGCAAACGGG